rnacentral:rRNA from 1 species
AAGCAUAUCAAUAAGCGGAGGAAAAGAAACUAAACAAGGAUUCCCCUAGUAACUGCGAGUGAAGCGGGAAAAGCUCAAAUUUAAAAUCUGGCAGUCUUUGGCUGUCCGAGUUGUAAUCUGGAGAAGUGCUUUCCGCGCUGGACCGUGUACAAGUCUCUUGGAAUAGAGCGUCAUAGAGGGUGAGAAUCCCGUCUUUGACACGGACUACCAGUGCUUUGUGAUGCGCUUUCAAAGAGUCGAGUUGUUUGGGAAUGCAGCUCAAAAUGGGUGGUAAAUUCCAUCUAAAGCUAAAUAUUGGCGAGAGACCGAUAGCGAACAAGUACCGUGAGGGAAAGAUGAAAAGCACUUUGGAAAGAGAGUUAAACAGUACGUGAAAUUGCUGAAAGGGAAACGCUUGAAGUCAGUCGCGUUGUUCAGAACUCAGCCUGGCUUUGGCUUGGUGCAUUUUCUGAAUAACGGGCCAGCAUCAAUUUUGACUGUUGGAUAAAGGCYAGGGAAAUGUGGCUCCCUUGGGAGUGUUAUAGUCCUUGGUUGCAUACAAUGGUUGGGAUUGAGGAACUCAGCAUGCCUUUAUGGUCGGGGUUCGCCCACGUUCAUGCUUAGGAUGCUGGCGUAAUGGCUUUAAACGACCCGUCUUGAAACACGGACCAAGGAGUCUAACAUGCCUGCGAGUGUUUGGGUGGAAAACCCGAGCGCGCAAUGAAAGUGAAAGUUGGGAUCUCUGUCGUGGAGAGCACCAAUGCCCGGACCAGACCUUCUGUGACGGUUCCGCGGUAGAGCAUGUAUGUUGGGACCCGAAAGAUGGUGAACUAUGCCUGAAUAGGGUGAAGCCAGAGGAAACUCUGGUGGAGGCUCGUAGCGAUUCUGACGUGCAAAUCGAUCGUCAAAUUUGGGUAUAGGGGCGAAAGACUAAUCGAACCAUCUAGUAGCUGGUUCCUGCCGAGUUUCCCCUCC